GCAGCCGCUACACCUCUCCAACUCCCUCAGAGUCUGGUGCUGGAGGCCGCCAUCUUAGCUCCGGCAGCGAGACCGCCCUCUCGACGCAGACGCCGUCAGACCCGGGCCCGUCACGGGACACGGUGCCAGUGAUACUAAAAGCUAAACCUGAGUCAGCAGGAAGACCUGUUUACAGCAAAACUUCUACAAGACCAAUCAUUCAGGAAAGUGGAGAAGAUAGCUGCACAAGUGUCAUAAAGAAGCUGAUUUAGGAUAGGAAGGAUCUUAUCUCCAUAAUGAGAUCAGGAGACUGUUGUUCAUAAUGAUGGAAGUUAAUGAGAAAUUUCAGACUGUAGUAACAUCACAGUGUGGGAGGAACUGUUUUGAAAGCUAAUCACGCUGAAUUUCCUGGAGGCACACCUAAAGAAAGAAAUCUCUGUUUAUAUAACCGGGCAGUUAAAAGAGCUUUUAAAAAGAACUUGGGAGUCCUAAAGGGAUAAUUAACUGAGAAAGCUUCAGAGCAGUUCCUCAGUCUUUUUAGAAACACAAUCUAUGUCUUCCAGAGGGCAUGAGUGAGGUGCAGUAUCUGCUUGCUGAGUGUGACAGUGGUGUUGAUGCUGACCAGGUGAUGUUGACUGUUUGCUGGGGUACUACCAUCUGUGGUGGUGUCAGAGCAUCUCCUGACUCUAUACCAAUCUGCAUUCAUGCACAGGAAGACAUGCACCUCCAUAUCUUCCAUAUUCAAGCUCUCAUCACUCUGAGGGAGAUGGGGUGAGAGGAAAACAGGCCUGACCUUGCCUCAGAGAUUGCUACAUCCUUCUGAGAAUGGAGUGGAGGAGGAGCCUCACGUGCAGCUUGCUCUAUCCUGACUUUGUUGGAGACCUGGCCAGUAACAAGUUCUUCCAGGAGAGAGAAGCACACUCAUUGUGCUGGACCUGCUGGUGUCCACAAACUGUUGGUGAAUUGCCAGUGCCUGGCUUCUCUCCGUAAACCCCAGUCUGCAAUCAGACAACUCAGCAUGCCCUGGUGUUGGACUCAGUGUCUUCGAAAUCAGUGACUAAUCACAGCUUCCCAAAAGAUGCAGAAGAGGCAGAAUGUGAAACACAGACUCCAGAUUCCGCACACCAGCUGCCUUGAUCUCAUCCUGAGGGAAAGAAGAUACCUCUUCUCUAUAUUCUUUUGUAUUGAAUGUUAAAAUAGAGAAAGUGAAAAAAACUAAAUGAAAUUCUGUAUAUGAGAUACACUGAAAUGUUUAUAUUAUUUUCAAAACUCCUGAGAUUUAAAUGUUUAUGUUCAUCACCAUUUAAGAGGUGAAAGAUGUUUACACUGAAGAAGGCACAACAGUAGUUUUCAUAUAUUUGAAGACUGCAGUCAAGGGGAAAGUGAAAAACUUGUAAUUGCGGGGCAAGAAAAGAAACAGACUGGAUUUGCAGAGAGGCAGACUGAGCAUAGACAUUGGCACAAAUUAAAGAUAAGAAGAGUGAAGCACUGCCAGAGACCAGACCCAAAGUAUCUAGUCUACUUCCUAUUUCUUCUGGAUGUACACAG